rnacentral:rRNA from 1 species
UACGUAGGGUGCGAGCGUUAAUCGGAAUUACUGGGCGUAAAGCGCACGUAGGCGGAUACUUAAGUCAGGGGUGAAAUCCCGGGGCUCAACCCCGGAACUGCCUUUGAUACUGGGUAUCUCGAGUCCGGAAGAGGUGAGUGGAAUUCCGAGUGUAGAGGUGAAAUUCGUAGAUAUUCGGAGGAACACCAGUGGCGAAGGCGGCGACCUGGUCCUUGACUGACGCUGAGGCGCGAAAGCGUGGGGAGCAAACAGG